rnacentral:rRNA from 1 species
UGGGGAAUUUUGGACAAUGGGGGAAACCCUGAUCCAGCCAUCCCGCGUGUGCGAUGAAGGCCUUCGGGUUGUAAAGCACUUUUGGCAGGAAAGAAACGUCGCGGGUUAAUACCCCGCGAAACUGACGGUACCUGCAGAAUAAGCACCGGCUAACUACGUGCCAGCAGCCGCGGUAAUACGUAGGGUGCAAGCGUUAAUCGGAAUUACUGGGCGUAAAGCGUGCGCAGGCGGUUCGGAAAGAAAGAUGUGAAAUCCCAGAGCUUAACUUUGGAACUGCAUUUUUAACUACCGGGCUAGAGUGUGUCAGAGGGAGGUGGAAUUCCGCGUGUAGCAGUGAAAUGCGUAGAUAUGCGGAGGAACACCGAUGGCGAAGGCAGCCUCCUGGGAUAACACUGACGCUCAUGCACGAAAGCGUGGGGAGCAAACAGGAUUAGAUACCCUGGUAGUCCACGCCCUAAACGAUGUCAACUAGCUGUUGGGGCCUUCGGGCCUUGGUAGCGCAGCUAACGCGUGAAGUUGACCGCCUGGGGAGUACGGUCGCAAGAUUAAAACUUAAAGGAAUUGACGGGGGUGC